rnacentral:tRNA from 2 species
GGUUAGGUGGCCGAGUGGUUCAAGGCUUCGCUCUGCAAAAGCGAUUUUCGUGAGUUCAAAUCUCACCCUAACCU